UGUUAUGAACUAUAAACCAGUAAAUCUUAUAUUAGCUGCUUCAUAGACAUUGCUGAUAUUUGUUUAUCAUGAAAUGGUUUUUCUAGAUACUAACUUGUAGUUUCUUGGGGAGAUACAAAAUGAUUCUGCACAAAAAGCAGUUUUUACUAACUUGUAAUCAGAGAAUACUCUUUGGAGGAAUUUAAAUUGGAGUUUUGUAAAGAAAAACUUAGAUGGCUUUCUUAAUUUUUCUUAAAGGAUGGGUCAUCAGUUAAGGAAGUUGAAACCUACCACCGGACACGUGCUUUAAGAUCUUUGAGAAAAGAUGCACAGAAUUCUUCAGAUUCUAGUUUUGAGAAGAAUGUGGAAAUAACGGAGCAACUUGCUAAUGGCAGGCAUUUUACAAGGCAGUUGGCCAGACAGCAGGCUGAU
rnacentral:lncRNA from 1 species